rnacentral:rRNA from 1 species
GAUGAACGCUGGCGGCGUGCCUAAUACAUGCAAGUCGAGCGAACAGACGAGGAGCUUGCUCCUCUGACGUUAGCGGCGGACGGGUGAGUAACACGUGGAUAACCUACCUAUAAGACUGGGAUAACUUCGGGAAACCGGAGCUAAUACCGGAUAAUAUAUUGAACCGCAUGGUUCAAUAGUGAAAGACGGUUUUGCUGUCACUUCUAGAUGGAUCCGCGCCGCAUUAGCUAGUUGGUAAGGUAACGGCUUACCAAGGCAACGAUGCGUAGCCGACCUGAGAGGGUGAUCGGCCACACUGGAACUGAGACACGGUCCAGACUCCUACGGGAGGCAGCAGUAGGGAAUCGUCCGCAAUGGGCGAAAGCCUGACGGAGCAACGCCGCGUGAGUGAUGAAGGUCUUCGGAUCGUAAAACUCUGUUAUUAGGGAAGAACAAAUGUGUAAGUAACUAUGCACGUCUUGACGGUAACUAAUCAGAAAGCCACGGCUAACUACGUG